CAACAUCCAGACGCACUUGUGGGUUAUAAAGACAGGUUUCGGCUCUGAACAUUCACAGAUUGAUUCACCUUCUUGCAAGCAAGUCCCUCUCAGGAUUGAAGACACGUCAGGAUGGCAGCAGCCUCGACAGAUUCGGGGCAGGGGUCCACCAAAAUAACUCCUCAAGUGCUGCAGGAGAUGCUUCAGUACUACAACCUGAGCCGCCAGGAGUUUAUCAACACUUACAACAUCCAGCCGCUCGUCUACAUCCCCGAGUUACCGUCAAGCGCAAAGACCACCUUCGUGAUCGUAUAUAUGGUUAUUUUCGUCAUGGCUCUGGCUGGAAAUAGUUUGGUCAUCUACAUAGUUUUGAAGAAACGGGCGAUACACACGGCGACAGAUAUUUUUAUUUGCUCUUUGGCGGUCAGCGACCUGCUCAUCACUUUCUUCUGCAUACCUUUUACUUUGCUGCAGAACAUCUCCUCUGAAUGGUUCGGGGGGGUCCUGGUUUGCAAGACAGUUCCCUUUGUACAGACUACAGCCAUAGUGACAGGCAUCCUCACAAUGACCUGCAUUGCCAUUGAGAGAUACCAGGGCAUUGUCUUCCCAUUGAAAAUGAGAAGGCAGUACUCUUCCAAAAGAGCACACAAGAUGCUAGGGCUGGUAUGGAUCGUGUCAGUGAUAGUGGGUUCACCAAUGCUGUUUGUGCAACAAUUAGAGGUGAAGUAUGACUUCUUGUAUGAUCACUAUCACGUGUGCUGUCAGGAGAGUUGGCGCUCUCUGACUCACAGGCAGGCGUACACCACCUUCAUCAUGGUGGCUCUCUUCCUGCUCCCUCUGGCAGCCAUGCUGUUCCUCUACACACGUAUCAGCAUUGAGUUGUGGAUACGCAAGAGGGUGGGCGACUCCUCAGUACUCAACACCAUGAACAACAGGGAGAUCAGUAAGAUCUCAAGGAAAAAGAAAAGAGCCGUUAAAAUGAUGAUCACCAUCGUUCUUCUAUUCACCAUUUGCUGGGCACCGUUCCACACAGUCCACAUGCUGUUUGAGUAUUAUAACCUGGAGAAGAAAUAUGACGGAGUCACACUUAACAUGAUAAUCGCCAUUGUUCAGGCCAUCGGGUUCUUCAACAGCUUCAACAAUCCUAUCGUGUAUGCCUUCAUGAAUGAGAAUUUCAAAAAGAGCUGCGUGUCCACCCUCUCCCAUUGCAUCCGCAAACCUAACCAGCAGGGUGGCGCUGCGGUGGGGCCCAGACUGAGCGUGCAGUUCAUCAAACCCCAAUGUAGAGAAGCCUUCCUGGAAUCAGAUGAAGGCAAGAGCUCUGAGCCGCACUCAGCAGUGAAAGGCCCUUCAAGUUCCUCGCAUGGAGAGAGCUCACUGGAAAUAAUAGGAGAAAAAAUCUCCUGCAUCCAAACAGAGCUCCCUGCAAACAGUUCCUCUCAAGUCAAAUGAGAAGCAACCGGCUCCAAGUUCAAGAGUUUAGCUGUUCAUCUCAACCGUCCUGUUUGCUGUCAAUCACUGGAACUUGAUACUGCCAGCACCAGAGACUUGCAUCAGCAUGGACAUUUUACUCUACCUCCACUGGUCAUGGAGCUCAGGAUUUAUCAGGACAACGGCUGCUUUAUUCCAAACUAUUUCACUGUAUGAACCUGAACUGUGUGUGAGACAUUUUGGAUGUGUAGAAGUAAUAUAAUAAUAAUCAAUGAAGUUACGCUGCUGUGCCUCCUGCGUAAAUGCGCACAGCAUCUCUCUUAAUGGGGAGACGCUUCACCCCAAGGCUGGACUGGGACAAACUGCCAUUUUUGACCCAGGCAGCCACCAAAGUCACCCCUCAACAUUACACCAUGCUUCCAUAUAAUAUCUGUACCUACUGUAAUAUUCCCCCAAACACGCUGAGUGGUAUCUGCAGUGGAAAAGUGUACCAGUGCAAGUGAAGUGUACUCAUUCGUACUCCAUGGCCACCUCUGACCACCAUGGAGUACACAACUCAUACUCAAGUACAAUAAGGGGUGUGACAAAACACUUACGCCAUGAGAUGUGACAUUGCACAAGAUUGGGGACAUGAGAACAAGACAAGAAUAUAUUUUAAUACUAUUUAGAAAAAAUUCUUGAUGAAAUAUACAAUUGGGGGAUUAGAUUUGGAGCAUUAAACACUUAAUUUCCUGCAUUCUGGUGAAAAUGUCUGCAAUUUAUGGUGGAAAUUUUAUUGUCUAUAUAAUGGGAAACAAUAUUCAGCUGGCAGGCAACAAUUCAAAAUCUAAAUAAAUUGUUGAAGAUAAUGCAGUAAGACUCUCUGGAUAUGCAUUCUGUAGCUAUUGCUUUUAAAUAUGUUUUCUCCUGUAGAUCAACAUUUCUAACAUAAUAUCCCUGCUGAGUCAGCACACAGUCUGAGUCUUUGGUUUGGGGAAGUAGCCUCUUUAAAUGUGCAUGUAACAGUCUUUUCACCUCAAUGAUAAAUUUAUUAAUUUCAAUUCAUUUAUAAAGUCCUGGAUAAAUAGUUCAUGUGUUUUCUGCUCAUGGUCAAACCUUUUUAGGGGUCUCCUCCUCCUCCUCCUCUUCCUAAUUGGCACGUAGGUUGCAAAUUCCACCCACUACUCAGGCAAAAAAAUGGCCCUUUUAAACCUGAUGGUGGCGCUAUAACAAUCAACUUUGCAUUUUUGCAAUUAUAUUAAAUGACUUUGUUUAGAGUCAAACUUCUUUCAUCAUUUUAAUCUCUGGAUUCAUCUACAUCUUUGCUCCAAUGGUCUUCUUCUCUAAAAGGGUCAAAUUAUACAACCUGAAACUUUGGCACGAUCAUCUAUGGAAGUCGCUGAUCAAAAGUUAUCAAAAGAAUCUGUUUCUUUUUUCAGAAAUUUUUACUUUUGUGUCGUUAAGUACAAUUUUACAUAAAUGCCCGUAAAUCAAAAUUGGCUUUAGCUAUUGUAACCGAACUUGACACGUUCAGAUUUUAGGCCCGAGCUUUGCUGUGCAGUCCUGGGAUAUUCUUCCACUAGGGGGCGCUACACUUGCAAAAAGUUUAUACCUCUUAAUUCGCUGGAUGGAUUUGUACGAAAUUCGGUUUGCACGAUCUAGGUCCACUACUUACUUCAUGUAAAAAAUUUGGUAAUGAUUGCGGAAAGUGGGCGUGGCUUAUUGCAAGAAAUGUACAUUUCUAGACAUUUCUCAUUCCUAACUUCAAAAAAUCUAAGAAAAUCACCCGUACGUCCUAUAGAGCAGACUUUUUUUCAGCAUAUCCACUGAUAUAUGACUAAUGUUUGCCUCACUGUAACCUUUGGUCAAUUCAGAAGUCAGUCACUCCAUAUUUUUCAGAAUAGGUUUAAUCAAUUAACAUCUGUAUCUCCAAGUCUUUCUUCAAACGCAACCACACUCGACAGAGUCGAAAAUUUUUUUCAGAAUUUUCCCGCCACAUCUUGACAGUUGUAAGUGUUUUAAGUUUAAACUGACAAAACUAUCCAGGUCUGGCACAUGUGACGUCACUACCUCAACUUGUUAGAUGUGUCAAAAUGUCAAAUGAUGCGUUUUUCACAACUUGCUUGGAUCCCAAUCAUUGCUGCUCGCGGCUAUAUUUAUUUUUAUUUUUAGAAAGUCUACCUGCCCUAUAGCUACUCUGCUGUGCAUUACUUUAUUGCUCAGCCGGUAAUAGGCUAUCUUCUUUAGACUGUUUGACCGACACAGUUUGGGGCUGCAUAUGAAACAGAGACCAACCGAAAACACUACUGAUCAUGCAGAAAUCUCGCCAUAAAUCCACACACGUGAACUUCAACAGCUCUGAUAAAGUGCAGCUCACUGUCCCAAACAGACCUCAGUUUUAAGAUGUUUAUAUUGUAAAACUCUACCAGUUACAUCCGUCGUCACAACUGUCUGGGCUCAAAGUGCACUUGAUUAGUGUCACGGCUUACGCCAGUGUCUCAUCAGCUGGGCUGAGUUGAUUAGUGCAGAGUCAAAAACUUUCUCUUGCACCACCCCCUGAUAUUUUACGGCCGUAGGCAAACACCAAUGUCGCUUAAGCCACGGGCCGGGCCAGCUGUCCCGAUGGUUGGCCCAUACAAGGGGCAGAAAGUUUGAUCGCGCAUUUGAUCAUUUUAAAUAACUAAUACAACUAAUGAAUACAAAAGGAACCCCAUAGAGUCAUGGCUCUCUUAAACUUCACGACUGCCAAAAAGGCUUUGCAAAUUAUACUCCAGUGUAUUCUCCAGUAUUGGCGCGCUGAGAUCGAUUUCCACUUCAGCAGCGGGAGGGUUAGCUUUUUUCUCAUUCAUUCCCAUGUGAACCAAACUAGUGAAGCUUUUUACAAUUACAGUAUUAAUGUGUUUGCUUAAUGGUGCUGUGGAAUAUUUUUGUAAAUUUCAUGUCUAUAUGUGAUUUUAGUGAAUAUUAUAAUUUUGGUGUAUAUGUAAAAUUAGUUCUGUAAUUUGUUUGCCAAUAAAAGCUAUUCACAGUAAUGUGUAGAUUGUUUAAAAGAAAAAAAACAAUCAUUCAUUUGAUUGGUUUUGUCAUUAAAAAAAAGAUCAGGUUGCCAGUAGGCUCUACUUUCAGCAUGUGUCACACAAGUUUUGACCUUGGAUGAUUGUUGUCAGUGGUGCUUCUUAAAGACUGUGCUCUUUCCCAAAUGCAAGAACAGGCUUUUGAAGUGAAUGAGGUCAUUAUCAUGUUGGUAUAUUACAUUUUACAUUCAAUAAAAUGAUCCAUUACAACUUU